rnacentral:rRNA from 1 species
GGUUAAGCGACUAAGCGUACACGGUGGAUGCCCUGGCAGUCAGAGGCGAUGAAGGGCGUGCUAAUCUGCGAUAAGCGCCGGUAAGGUGAUAUGAACCGUUAUAACCGGCGAUACCCGAAUGGGGAAACCCAGUGUGAUUCGUCACACUAUCAUUAACUGAAUCCAUAGGUUAAUGAGGCGAACCGGGGGAACUGAAACAUCUAAGUACCCCGAGGAAAAGAAAUCAACCGAGAUUCCCCCAGUAGCGGCGAGCGAACGGGGAGGAGCCCAGAGCCUGAAUCAGCAUGUGUGUUAGUGGAAGCGUCUGGAAAGGCGCGCGAUACAGGGUGACAGCCCCGUACACAAAAGCGCAUGUGCUGUGAGCUCGAUGAGUAGGGCGGGACACGUGGUAUCCUGUCUGAAUAUGGGGGGACCAUCCUCCAAGGCUAAAUACUCCUGACUGACCGAUAGUGAACCAGUACCGUGAGGGAAAGGCGAAAAGAACCCCGGCGAGGGGAGUGAAAAAGAACCUGAAACCGUGUACGUACAAGCAGUGGGAGCACCCUUUGGGUGUGACUGCGUACCUUUUGUAUAAUGGGUCAGCGACUUAUAUUCUGUAGCAAGGUUAACCGAAUAGGGGAGCCGGAGGGAAACCGAGUCUUAACCGGGCGUUAAGUUGCAGGGUAUAGACCCGAAACCCGGUGAUCUAGCCAUGGGCAGGUUGAAGGUUGGGUAACACUAACUGGAGGACCGAACCGACUAAUGUUGAAAAAUUAGCGGAUGACCUGUGGCUGGGGGUGAAAGGCCAAUCAAACCGGGAGAUAGCUGGUUCUCCCCGAAAGCUAUUUAGGUAGCGCCUCGUGAAUUCAUCUCCGGGGGUAGAGCACUGUUUCGGCUAGGGGGCCAUCCCGGCUUACCAACCCGAUGCAAACUGCGAAUACCGGAGAAUGUUAUCACGGGAGACACACGGCGGGUGCUAACGUCCGUCGUGAAGAGGGAAACAACCCAGACCGCCAGCUAAGGUCCCAAAGUCAUGGUUAAGUGGGAAACGAUGUGGGAAGGCCCAGACAGCCAGGAUGUUGGCUUAGAAGCAGCCAUCAUUUAAAGAAAGCGUAAUAGCUCACUGGUCGAGUCGGCCUGCGCGGAAGAUGUAACGGGGCUAAACCAUGCACCGAAGCUGCGGCAGCGACACUGUGUGUUGUUGGGUAGGGGAGCGUUCUGUAAGCCUGUGAAGGUGUGUCGUGAGGCAUGCUGGAGGUAUCAGAAGUGCGAAUGCUGACAUAAGUAACGAUAAAGCGGGUGAAAAGCCCGCUCGCCGGAAGACCAAGGGUUCCUGUCCAACGUUAAUCGGGGCAGGGUGAGUCGACCCCUAAGGCGAGGCCGAAAGGCGUAGUCGAUGGGAAACGGGUUAAUAUUCCCGUACUUGGUGUUACUGCGAAGGGGGGACGGAGAAGGCUAUGUUGGCCGGGCGACGGUUGUCCCGGUUUAAGCGUGUAGGUGUGUGUUCCAGGUAAAUCCGGUUCACUUUAACACUGAGGCGUGACGACGAGGCACUACGGUGCUGAAGCAACAAAUGCCCUGCUUCCAGGAAAAGCCUCUAAGCAUCAGGUAACAUCAAAUCGUACCCCAAACCGACACAGGUGGUCAGGUAGAGAAUACCAAGGCGCUUGAGAGAACUCGGGUGAAGGAACUAGGCAAAAUGGUGCCGUAACUUCGGGAGAAGGCACGCUGACACGUAGGUGAAGUGAUUUACUCAUGGAGCUGAAGUCAGUCGAAGAUACCAGCUGGCUGCAACUGUUUAUUAAAAACACAGCACUGUGCAAACACGAAAGUGGACGUAUACGGUGUGACGCCUGCCCGGUGCCGGAAGGUUAAUUGAUGGGGUCAGCGCAAGCGAAGCUCCUGAUCGAAGCCCCGGUAAACGGCGGCCGUAACUAUAACGGUCCUAAGGUAGCGAAAUUCCUUGUCGGGUAAGUUCCGACCUGCACGAAUGGCGUAAUGAUGGCCAGGCUGUCUCCACCCGAGACUCAGUGAAAUUGAACUCGCUGUGAAGAUGCAGUGUACCCGCGGCAAGACGGAAAGACCCCGUGAACCUUUACUAUAGCUUGACACUGAACAUUGAGCCUUGAUGUGUAGGAUAGGUGGGAGGCUUUGAAGUGUGGACGCCAGUCUGCAUGGAGCCGACCUUGAAAUACCACCCUUUAAUGUUUGAUGUUCUAACGUGGACCCGUUACCCGGGUUGCGGACAGUGUCUGGUGGGUAGUUUGACUGGGGCGGUCUCCUCCUAAAGAGUAACGGAGGAGCACGAAGGUUGGCUAAUCCUGGUCGGACAUCAGGAGGUUAGUGCAAUGGCAUAAGCCAGCUUGACUGCGAGCGUGACGGCGCGAGCAGGUGCGAAAGCAGGUCAUAGUGAUCCGGUGGUUCUGAAUGGAAGGGCCAUCGCUCAACGGAUAAAAGGUACUCCGGGGAUAACAGGCUGAUACCGCCCAAGAGUUCAUAUCGACGGCGGUGUUUGGCACCUCGAUGUCGGCUCAUCACAUCCUGGGGCUGAAGUAGGUCCCAAGGGUAUGGCUGUUCGCCAUUUAAAGUGGUACGCGAGCUGGGUUUAGAACGUCGUGAGACAGUUCGGUCCCUAUCUGCCGUGGGCGCUGGAGAACUGAGGGGGGCUGCUCCUAGUACGAGAGGACCGGAGUGGACGCAUCACUGGUGUUCGGGUUGUCAUGCCAAUGGCACUGCCCGGUAGCUAAAUGCGGAAGAGAUAAGUGCUGAAAGCAUCUAAGCACGAAACUUGCCCCGAG